GGCCGGUUGGCCCAAUGGUAAGGCGUCUGACUACGAUCGUAGCCGCCCAAGUAGCGAGUAAUCAGGAGAUUCUGGGUUCGAGCCCCAGGCUGGUCA
rnacentral:tRNA from 1 species